UGGACCUUCAAGAGCCAGGCCAGGGGGAGAGGCUGCCUGAGAAGGGGGCCAACAGAGGGGAAGGCUGUGCCACGGAUGGGGAGACAAGCGGCUGGGACCUCGUACCAACGUCCUUUAGGAUGGAACAUUCUUCUGCUGGCCUACCUCAGGCCCACCGGCCCCAGAAUCUCCUCAUCACCAAGGCUGGGUGUCAUGUGUCGUUGAUUAUUGGAUUUGCCCUUUUUAUGAUGCUUGGACUGCUUAGCUCGUUGACGGCCUGGUACUGUCCCUGGUUGUGACACCAACCACAUGGUGACAGAGGGCACAGGCCUUGUCCUUGAGAACCCACAGCUGGGAAAGAGACAUAUGAGGAGAUGGUUACAGUACAGGACAAGAAAGAUCACAGAGAAAGAACGGAUAGCUGUGGGAUCACAGGUCUGAGUGACCGGCUGGCCUCCUUCCCGGGACGUCUCUGUCUCAGAGCUCCCUCCUUAAGCAUCUUCGUCCAGAAGCCUCUGAGCCACUGCCAUCCUUCAUUCCUCUCUCUGUCCGUCCUCAACUCCGAGCUGGCAGCAUAGCCUUCAGAACAGACUCAGCGUUGGUCUGCUUCUCAACAUUUCCACCUCUACCGCCGUGGCCCUGCCACCUUUGCCUUCAGUGCGUCUUACAGGUGCCUCGUCAUGGGUCUUCUGUUCCUCUCUUUUCAUCUCUCCCAGAGUAAAAGCCAGUGACAUUACAAGAAGUUAUGAACUGAAUGUUUGUGUCUCCCCAAAUUCAUUAUGUUG